rnacentral:rRNA from 1 species
CCUACGGGAGGCAGCAGUGAGGAAUAUUGGUCAAUGGGCUUACGCCUGAACCAGCCAAGUCGCGUGAGGGAAGACUGCCCUAUGGGUUGUAAACCUCUUUUGUCAGGGAGCAAUUGGCGCUACGUGUAGCGUUAUCGAGAGUACCUGAAGAAAAAGCAUCGGCUAACUCCGUGCCAGCAGCCGCGGUAAUCCGGGGGAUGCGAGCGUUAUCCGGAUUUAUUGGGUUUAAAGGGUGCGUAGGCGGAAUGCCAAGUCAGCGGUAAAAUCGCGGGGCUCAACCUCGCUCCGCCGUUGAAACUGGCGGUCUUGAGUGGGCGAGAAGUAUGCGGAAUGCGUGGUGUAGCGGUGAAAUGCAUAGAGAUCACGCAGAACUCCGAUUGCGAAGGCAGCAUACCGGCGCACAACUGACGCUGAAGCACGAAAGCGUGGGUAUCGAACAGGAUUAGAUACCCGAGUAGUC